CCUACGGGAGGCAGCAGUGGGGGAUAUUGCACAAUGGGGGAAACCCUGAUGCAGCGACGCCGCGUGGGUGAAGAAGCGCCUCGGCGCGUAAAGCCCUGUCAGCAGGGAAGAAAAUGACGGUACCUGAAGAAGAAGCCCCGGCUAACUACGUGCCAGCAGCCGCGGUAAUACGCAGGGGGCAAGCGUUAUCCGGAUUUACUGGGCGUAAAGGGGGCGCAGACGGCGAUGCAAGCCAGGAGUGAAAGCCCGGGGCCCAACCCCGGGACUGCCCUUGGAACUGCGUGGCUAGAGUGCAGGAGGGGCAGGCGGAAUUCGUGGUGUAGCGGUGAAAUGCGUAGAUAUCAGGAAGAACACCGGUGGCGAAGGCAGCCUGCUGGACUGCAACUGACGUUGAGGCCCGAAAGCGUGGGGAGCAAACAGGAUUAGAUACCCCAGUAGUC
rnacentral:rRNA from 1 species